UACUCCUACGGGGGGCAGCAGUGGGGGAGAUUGCACAAGGGGGGAAACCCUGAUGCAGCGACGCCGCGUGAGCGACGAAGUAUUUCGGUAUGUAAAGCUCUAUCAGCAGGGAAGAAAAUGACGGUACCUGACUAAGAAGCCCCGGCUAACUACGUGCCAGCAGCCGCGGUAAUACGUAGGGGGCAAGCGUUAUCCGGAUUUACUGGGUGUAAAGGGAGCGUAGACGGCAGUGCAAGUCCGAAGUGAAAGGCAAGGGCUCAACCCCUGGACUGCUUUGGAAACUGUGCUGCUGGAGUGUCGGAGAG
rnacentral:rRNA from 1 species